rfam:Oryctolagus cuniculus cont2.15276, whole genome shotgun sequence.
UCUAUUUCGUUUUUCAACAUUAAGGUAACUGCAAACAUAUUGUUGAAAGCAAAUAAAGGUACUUCUCUGACUUUAGUCUGCAAUAACUUAAAGAAAAGGACCUAGG